NNNNNNNNNNNNNNNNNNNNNNNNNNNNNNNNNNNNNNNNNNNNNNNNNNNNAAAGUAAAAAUCUUAAGCGAAUCCACAUGUUCCAUAGAAUCUCUAUGGAUAGAAAUGUCAUGCUCUAAUAAGAAUAUAACAUUAGCGAUCUAUUAUCUACCACCUGACCAGGACGGUGAUAGUGACGAUGAUAUGCUAAGGGAAAUUAGAGAGGCUAUCAAAAUUAAGAACUCAAUAAUAGUGGGGGAUUUCAAUUAUCCCCAUAUUGACUGGGAACAUUUCACUUCAGGACGAAAUGCAGAGAUAAAAUUUCUCAAUACUUUAAAUGACUGCUUCAUGGAGCAGCUGGUACGGGAAUCCACAAGGGGAGAGGCAACUCUAGAUUUAGUCCUGAGUGGAGCGCAGGAGCUGGUCCAAGAGGUAACUAUAGCAGGACCGCUUGGAAAUAGUGACCAUAAUACAAUAGCAUUCAACAUCCCUGUGGUGGGAAGAACAUCUCAACAGCCCAACACUGUGGUAUUUAAUUUCAAAAGGGACAACUAUGCAAAAAUGAGGGGGUUAGUUAAACAGAAGUUAAAAGGUACAGUGACUAAAGUGAAAUCCCUGCAAGCUGCAUGGGCGCUUUUUAAAGACACCAUAAUAGAGGCUCAACUUCAAUGUAUACCCCAAAUUAAGAAACACAGUAAAAGAACUAAAAAAGAGCCACCGUGGCUUAACAACCAUGUAAAAGAAGCAGUGAGAGAUAAAAAGACUUCCUUUAAAAAGUGGAAGUCAAAUCCUAGUGAAACAAAUAGAAAGGAGCAUAAACACUGCCAAAUUCAGUGCAAGAAUGUAAUACGAAAAGCCAAAGAGGAGUUUGAAGAACGGCUAGCCAAAAACUCCAAAGGUAAUAACAAAAUGUUUUUUAAGUACAUCAGAAGCAGGAAGCCUGCUAAACAACCAGUGGGGCCCCUUGAUGAUCGAGAUACAAAAGGAGCGCUUAAAGACGAUAAAGUCAUUGCGGAGAAACUAAAUGGAUUCUUUGCUUCAGUCUUCACGGCUGAGGAUGUUAGGGAGAUUCCCAAACCUGAGCUGGCUUUUGUAGGUGAUAAAUCUGAGGAACUGUCA
rnacentral:lncRNA from 1 species